UCCAGCAGCCGUUCCUGAUAUGCUUUAGCCUCCAAGUCCCUAAUCAUCUUUGUUGCUCUUCUCUAGAGUCUCAACAUCUUUUUUACAUCAUGGUGCUCACCCCAUGUAAGGGAGUGAUAUAUUUUCAAUCUCUUAGGGGAAUUGAGAACCCCCCAAAGAAAUUGGUCAGAAAGUCAAGCGCACAUGGCAACAACCGCCUUUGAGGACACCCAGAAGAAGAAGACGUAUCUUGAAGCCCAGCAAAGAAGAAUCCUUUGAGGAUUUCACUUUUUCAAUCUAAAAAAGCUUUCAAAGACAUCAGAAAUCGCAUAGCCAGUGGAGAAGGAAGUAUGUGAGCACAUAUUUCCUGGAUGGUCUACUUUUAGUUCCAAGAGUGGCUGAAGUAUUUCCUGUAGCCUCAAACCCUGCAGCAAAUAUUUCCUCUGCAGGUGUAUUGAGCAGGGUCACCAAGGCAGACUAAACCUCUGGUUAUUAAUCUCCCUAGUUAUUAAGAUCAGUAGAGGGGCCUCUUGAAGAUGCCACCUCUUUCGGAGACUCAUCUUUUUGGCACACAGUAAUAGCAUUUUAAUUUAUUAGAUGAUUUUGCUAUUUAUUUCAUUGUUUUCUGAAUCAGUUUGUUAAAUUUCUGUAUUCUGUUUUUGUUUUAACAUUUGUUAGCUGCCUUGAGUGCUUUCCACAGGAGAAAGACAAGGUAUAAAUCAAAUAAUAAAUAAUCAGUCGAAGUUGCUAUUAACUUUCAUCAUUUUUGGUGAAAACUCUUUUGAAAAUCAUUAGAUGAUAACUUGGCUGAAAACAAGGGCAACAAGGAAACCUUUCCAGCUGUUUCUACAAGAAGAGUAGAUAGCAACUUGCUUAGCCUAAGGUCACUUCCCUUCAUUUCCUAUCCAAAACCAAAGUUACACAAGGAUCUAGAAUUCAUUGGCAUGAGUCAGAUUAUCAGCUGAAGCAGCAGGAAUCUAAGGGUCAUUCUUUAUAAAUGGACACCACAUAUCAAGAUCACCAAUGGUCUGGUGGUGGGCAGACUUGGCUUAUUUGCCUAGUGCUACUGUUCUAAUAUUCAGGCACCUAGUGUUUUGUACAGUGACAUAGCUAAUGAAGUUUUUCCCUGAAAUGCCAGAAAGCACCUACUGAUGCUUCAAGCCAUCAACCAUCUAUUUGCUAUCAAAGUCAUAGAAUCAUUCCCACUGGCAGUAAGUUCCAUGUGGCAACCUGGAGUUCCAUUCUUUUGGCUAGCUUUCUUUUAUUUCCAAGAAUCAUGUUUGUAUGUUCAUUUACCCAUCUUCUGGAAGUUUUCGAGAUUUGAACUGGGCCAUUAUUCUCAAAAUACUGCUCUCCCAUUUGGUAUGGCAACAUAAAGAUCCUUGUAGCAUGUGUAGUGUCUCUCUUAGGACAAAAUUCAAAUCUACUGCUAUUUAGAUUGGCUUCUCCUCUGUUCUCAUUCUUUAACAGAGUGAGCAAGAUAGUCUGUUGCUUAUCAUACCUUGACUUCUGCAUCAACUGGGAGAAGAGGCAGAUGCCCCUGCUUAAUGCCUGCAGCUUCUGGAAACAAAGCUGAAGUAUUCUGGCAGGCUUGGCCCUCCUCCCUUACAAGAAUUAAUCAGUGCUAAACUAUAAACUACUUGGCUAUUAUAUGGUAAAUAUGCAAACAUACCUGAGGAGAGAUAUUGGAGUUGUAGUUCAGAAUAUCUGGAGUGCCCACCCAUGUUAAAGGAUCUGUGAUGAUUUGAUUUUAAAAGAUUGUUGACUGAAAAUAGCUGAAGCUGAAAUGGACCAAAGAUCUAGGUGCUUAUUAUUGAUUGCUUCUUAUGCAGAACAUGUAGGCGUUUCAAUCACUAUGGAAUGCAUGGGUUCCCUCCUGAAAGAUCUCAGUGUCAGGUUGGGGAUAGGUCAUCCUAGAAAAAAUCUGUCUACAUGUUUGCUAAAGAGUUAAUACUGACUUGAUGGCAUGCAAUUGGUUAUUGUUGAUUUUGUAUAAAUAGUAUAGGAUACUUGGUACACAUCAAAUAUGUUGUAAAAUCUUCUGAGUUUCUUUCAUCAAGAAAAAUAUAAUAUUAAAUAAUGUUGUAUGUUACGAUAGAAUUCUACUUACUAGGGAACACUUCAAUUUAUGAAACAAAUUGCUACUAUUUGGAAUAAUUCUCAUUAUUUGUUUGAUCAAAAUUGUAAAAGACUACAACUAGUAAAAAGGGAAAGAGAAAUAUGGUCUUUAUUAACUAGUAGUGGUGCUACUAAAGGCAACCCUCCCCUACACUGAAUCUGGAAUAUAUUACUGUAUAUGAAAGGUUUUCCCUACACUUGAAAACUUGCUGUUGUUUCCCUCAUACUCUAAUUUUUGUUUCUUAUUUAUUUAAUAACUGAAGUUCUCUGGUGUCUUGCGGAUAAUUAUGGAAAACAGAGGUUUCAGAAAAACAUUCUAAAGGGAGAAAAUAUUUUUAAAAUAUGUAAUUAAAAAUACAUAUUACAGGAAACAUAAAACCAUAUUCUCUCAGUAUGUAAUAGUCUGAAUACAAAAUUAUAGAAGUGCGUGGAAGAAGAAUGUAUUGUGAGGCUUCAUAUAGAGCCAUAUAACAGUCUGCGUUUUGUUUUCAGAUUUCUGCAGAAAUGAAAAUUAGGAAACAUUUUCAAAUAUUUGGAGUCAAGAGAGUCACUGAACCCACAUUAUUAAUGUAGGGUGUUUUGGGGAGCCAUUUUAGUUGGGUGGGAUUUUUUUAAAAAAUUACAUGUGUAUAUUGUAUUUUGUAUUUUUAAUUCUUUCUAGCAACUCAGAAUCACGUUUGUAAGAUGGGCAGCUGAAUAAAUACAUUUUAAGUAAUUAAAUAUCUGCUUUGAUGAAUUAGAAAGGUAUGUGGCUUGAAGAAUACCUAGAUCAGCCUUAUCGCUGGAUUGAAUGACAAUUUUUGGACACCAGUAAUUUCAGUUAAUCUAUUUUGUUGUUGUAAUUAUUAUCACUACAAUAAGAAAUGGAUUGUAUUCAAAGAAGUGCUAGAGAAGGCUCAGAGUAGAUCUCUGCUAAUUUUUAACGUCUUGAAUUUUUUUUUUUUUAAAGAUUGAUAAAAUUUAGAAUUGCAGUCGUGAAAGAUAGCAAGAUAGUGUAGGGAGCAGUGCCAAGGAAAGAUUCUCUCACAAUGGCCUUAUUAUAUUAUAGAGACAGAAGAACUAAGUCAGGUACCACAAAGUUUGCAACUCAGUUUUGCAUAUGGGCAAGAGUAUAAUUGAGGAAGACCCGAGAAAGGGCAGAUUUGCACACUGUUACUGGUGGCAUCGAUGACUCUAAUUUCUGCACUCUUAUGAUAUCCAGUUGGUAGUGGAACAUUGUGCAAGCAAACAGCCAAACUCCAAGAACAUCAAGAACUUUACUUUCAUCUCUCAACUAGCUUGGUUCUAGACAAACACCAGAAAAGAAAAAGUGAAAGAAACAGACUAUCUUUAUUUUUUAGAUUACCACAAAACUGCCCUUUUCCCUCCCUGCGCUGCCCCCUCUUCUUAACAAAUCAGUGGCAGACUCC